GGGGGGAGGCCGGAUCCUGGGCUGUGUCCCCGGCGCCCUGGGCUCUGGGGCCUGCGCUGCUGGAUUUGCGCUCCCAGGGCCGCGCAGCCCCCU
rnacentral:pre_miRNA from 1 species